rnacentral:rRNA from 1 species
AUACAUAGCUAUACUAUACUGAAUGCACUCAGUCUCACCUGAUCUUGGGAAGUAAGCAGGGUUGGGUUUGGUUAGUAUUUAGACAAGAAAGCAAUGGAGU